CCUGAGCCCAGCUGCAGAGGGGAGAACUAGGCGGGAGAGAUGGAAGGGGCUGUGAGGCACAGGCCCAUCAGCAGAGCUCCACACUCCUCACUGACACACUUUAUGAGCCAGAGCGGCAGCUAGGCGGGGAGUCGGCGGCAUACAGCGUCUGGAGGUAUGGCCCGGCCUGACUGUGCACGGUGCAGCGCCCCGCAGCGCGGAGCAGCCCCGUGGCCCUGCUCUGGUGGGUAGUUUGGUCGGCUUCUGCUCUCCGCGCCUGCCCCAGCCUGUAGAAAUACCC
rnacentral:lncRNA from 1 species